UUUAGAUAUUAACAUACUCGGAUAUUGUGAUGAGCACAAAGUGGCGGAGUGACGAAUAGGGCCUCAGAGUAAUAAAACAUUCACUACAUCGCUGCCAAACGGCCACGGUGAGCCACUUCCUCAUGGAGACACGAUUAACAAAAGGAAAACCUCUCAGAAAGAAGCAUUGGAAUACUUGCUAAAGACGAAUCGCACUGCCUGGAUUUCUGCUGGAGUUGUAGCGUCACUUUAUCAUUUAGGUCAAACGAAACUAGGCCACCCAGUGAGACUGUAAGGAAAUCACAGAAAAGUGGAUCCAAGGGCCAAAAAGAAAAGCGAUCCUUUGUUUUAGACAAACCGUUGCUCAAGGUGACCUGAAGCAGUUUGUUUUCCAUAAGAUGGAUAAGUGGGCAACAUCAUCCAGCACAGCACAGGGGAAUGAGAGCUCGUCUGCCCCAAUCAUAUUUUCUACCCUGUCUUCACGGUAAACACCAAUCUGUGGGACCCAUCUAGGACGAACUAGGAUGCAUUCACGAAGACAUUAUCCAGACUAAACACACUGCCCAGAAUGUUUCAAGCCUCUCAGAAGAAUAACUGUAUAUCAAUAACAGAGAUUAUGGUAUAGUAGAGGUAUAUGAUUU